AUUUCUAUUAUUGCACCCUUUUCAACGGUGUAGUACGACGUCCGCUGGGGGCGUAUUGCGUAUUACGGACCUGAUUUCAAGUGCCAGUAGGAAGGCGGUGUAA